AUAUUGGACAAUGGGGGCAACCCUGAUCCAGCCAUGCCGCGUGAGUGAAGAAGGUCUUCGGAUCGUAAAGCACUUUAAGUUGGGAGGAAGGGCUUUAGGCUUAUACUCUGUAGUUUUGACGUUACCAACAGCAUAAUCACCGGCUAACUCUUUGCCAGCAGCCGCGGUAAUACAGAGGGUGCAAGCGCUAAUCGGAAUUACUGGGCGUAAAGCGCGCGUAGGUGGUUCAGUAAGAUGGGUGUGAAAUCCCCGGGCUUAACCUGGGAACUGCUUUCAUAACUGCUGAGCUAGAGUACGGUAGAGGGUAGUGGAAUUUCCUGUGUAGCGGUGAAAUGCGUAGAUAUAGGAAGGAACACCAGUGGCGAAGGCGACUACCUGGACUGAUACUGACACUGAGGUGCGAAAGCGUGGGGAGCAAACAG
rnacentral:rRNA from 1 species